GGGGACGUGGCGAAAUUGGUAGACGCACUGGAUUUAGGCUCCAGCGCCGCAAGGUGUGAGAGUUCGAGUCUCUCCGUCCCCACCA
rnacentral:tRNA from 1 species